CUGAAUGGAGUCUGCACUGCCUGUGGAAUUACAGAGACAAGGAAAAGAAAAAAAGAUUUACAUAAGCUUCCUAUCUCACAACUAACAAGCACUAUCUCAAAAAAAACUUCUUUCAUAGACAAGAUCUUACAAAGCUUAUCAAGUUACAAUUAUAUUACAGAACCAAAACAGGUUUCUGAAAACAGAGUGUUCUUGAUCCUAAUACAAGUCUUAAGUCAAAUCUUGCAAGCUCUAUCUACAAACUCCAUAGCUAUAUACCGUUUUAGCUCUGUUGUCACUUACUUAGAGACUAAAACAUA